rnacentral:rRNA from 1 species
GACGAACGCUGGCGGCGUGCUUAACACAUGCAAGUCGAACGGAAAGGCCCUGCUUGCAGGGUGCUCGAGUGGCGAACGGGUGAGUAACACGUGGGUGAUCUGCCCCUUACUUUGGGAUAAGCCUGGGAAACUGGGUCUAAUACUGGAUAGGACCAUGCUGUAGGUGGUGUGGUGGAAAGAUUAGUUUCGGUAAGGGAUGAGCUCGCGGCCUAUCAGCUUGUUGGUGGGGUAAUGGCCUACCAAGGCGUCGACGGGUAGCCGGCCUGAGAGGGUGGACGGCCAGAUUGGGACUGGGAUACGGCCCAGACGCCUACGGGAGGCAGCAGUGGGGAAUAUUGCACAAUGGGCGCAAGCCUGAUGCAGCGACGCCGCGUGGGGGAUGACGGCCUUCGGGUUGUAAACUCCUUUCAGCCAUGACGAAGCCCUUGUGGUGACGGUAGUGGUAGAAGAAGCACCGGCUAACUACGUG